AGAGCUCCCUCUCGGGACCCCGUUAUGCUGACCCUGGCUUCCACUUCUAGGAGAAAUAAAGCAUAGAAAGUCCUGUUGGUGGUAAGAUUGCUUGCUGCUUUCUGUGGCCAAAACGUAGGGGUUCCAUCUGCCAGCAUUUUGAAAUAAGUAGGUUUUUUUUUUUUUUUUUUUUUUUUUUACAUCUGGUCAGAACCCACCCAAAUGGUGAUACACAAAUGUAAGUGUUAAUGAUAUUUUAUAUUGUUGUUGUGGGCGUGUGUGUGUGUGUGUGUAAAGUUGACUACUGUGGCAGCCAUAGCCAACCUGCUCUGAAAGAAUUCAUGUCAAAGUAAAGAUAAAAUGCUUAUAAAGAAGAUUCACAGGCAAAAAAAAAAAAAAANNNNNNNNNNCUCGGGUAGGCACCGUUAAAUGUAAGUGUUAAUGAUAUUUUAUAUUGUUGUUGUGGGCGUGUGUGUGUGUGUGUGUAAAGUUGACUACUGUGGCAGCCAUAGCCAACCUGCUCUGAAAGAAUUCAUGUCAAAGUAAAGAUAAAAUGCUUAUAAAGAAGAUUCACAGGCAAAAAAGGCACCCUAGGGCUCAGAGUAAGUUGUCUUCCCCCCCUCCCUUUUUUUCUGACUAUUGAUAACACAAAUAAAGCUGCAAUAACUAUCUUGGUUGAGACACAGCUUUCUAAAUGCUUGUCGAUAGCUUGCUGGUGUACGACCUUAGUUUUUACUGCGUCCCUGCCUUGACCACCCAUCCUGCCCUCAAGAGAACACAGGGCUCCUCUCUGGGAAGAUCCAGGGUUGGCAGAAAGGAAAGAUUUCCUUCUUGACUUGUAUCUCCCAAGAACACCCUCUGAUCAGCACUCUGCAUGCAAUUUCCAUCUCGGACUCUGUUUCUAGGAAGCCUUUCAGGCAGCUGACACUGGACGUGGUUGUGAGUUGCAGACCCUAAUGAAAAAUUGGAGAGGAAGCAGGUGGCCGGCUGAUGAAAUGAUAACCAGAAGGCCUGUGGGCUUGGGUGGCUGAGGCUGGGGCUACUGAGUGUUGAAGAGAGAGAGGCAGAGGCGCAGGAUGACUCAUCACUGGUCUCAGGCAAACUGUGAAAGCCGGAGCACUUCCUUGGUGGCAUUUAAGAAAAACAAUACUUUUAUGGUCCCACUCC
rnacentral:lncRNA from 1 species